CUUGACUUAGAUCAGCCCAGAGGUAGUUUCAGGGUUUGAUCUGUGAGUUAGCCAUGCCCUGACUUAGAUCAGCCCAGAGGUUGUUUCAGGGUUCCAUCGCCCUCAGUCGCCCUGACUAAGUAUAUCAGCCCAGAGGUGAUACUUUAUCAAGCGCAGGGGAAGGUCCAUUAAGACAUGUUUAUUCCUUUUGAAUCGAUUUUAAAGCAAUCAUUUUGCAUAGAAUUGCUGGCUAAGAUGUCAAGGUGAAACAGGAUUUCGUACAGGCAACGUUAAACAAUAAAAGGAAGGAGAAGAGGAGAAGAUAAAGGUACCCUCUUUCCUUGUCGUUCUUCUCUUACCGACAGACAGGACGAGAGACAACGCACGCAGGCACUCAGUUAUCAAAACGGGGCACUGAAAAAAGACCUCUGCAUGAAGAGUCGUUGUACCCUCACUUCAAGAAAAAUCGACUUCAUUUUGAUGUCUCUGAAUCCCCCAUCUCUUUACUUGUUACCUCAUACCUCGUCAUCUUGUUCUCUUGGUAUCAUCAUCGGCUACGAAAAUCAGCUUGAAGGGGAUUUAAACUUUUCUUUUAAACGUAAGAUAAGGUCUUUGAUCUCCUGGCGUUUACCUGAUAUGCCAUUGUGCGUGAACCAGCUGGUCUUGUGGAUAGGUAGUCUGUAAUCCUGAAUAGGAUCCUAAGGGGGAAAAAUCGAGAAAAAUUAAAAGGUUGCGGCUAUACAUGUGCCAUCAAUUAA